rnacentral:lncRNA from 1 species
UCCAUAGAUUACUGAGAGGUAAUUCAAGUCUUCACUUAUAAUCAUGCAUUUGUGACUUCUACUGUUAGUUCCAUCCAUUUUUUUUUACACAUCUGUACUUCAUGUAUUAUGAAGAUCUUUUAUUUGGUAUAUAAUCAUUUAGGAUUGUUAUGUCCCAUAGUCUCUGAAAAUCCCGUAAGUGUAAGAUUGGGAUGUUUAACUCCCUUUUUGGAUACUGAAAAUCAUGGUGGGUACAUUGAUGGAGGAUACAUGGUGG